rnacentral:rRNA from 1 species
AUUGAACGCUGGCGGCAUGCCUUACACAUACAAGUCGAACGGUAACAGGUCUUCGGAUGCUGACGAGUGGCGAACGGGUGAGUAAUACAUCGGAACGUGCCUAGUAGUGGGGGAUAACUACUCGAAAGAGUGGCUAAUACCGCAUGAGAUCUACGGAUGAAAGCAGGGGAUCGCAAGACCUUGUGCUACUAGAGCGGCCGAUGGCAGAUUAGGUAGUUGGUGGGAUAAAAGCUUACCAAGCCGACGAUCUGUAGCUGGUCUGAGGGGACGAUCAGCCACACUGGGACGGAGACACGGCCCGGACUCCUACGGGAGGCAGGAGUGGGGAAUUUUGGACAAUGGGCGCAAGCCUGAUUAAGCAAUGCCGCGUGCAGGAUGAAGGCCUUCGGGUUGUAAACUGCUUUUGUACGGAACGAAAAGCCCCGGGUUAAUACCCUGGGGUCAUGACGGUACCGUAAGAAUAAGCACCGGCUAACUACGUGCCAGCAGCCGCCGUAA